rnacentral:rRNA from 1 species
AUUUGUCUGGUUAAUUCCGAUAACGAACGAGACCUUAACCUGCUAACUAGAUUUUUGCAUUUUAUGCAUUUAUCUUCUUAGAGGGACUAUGUAAAUCAAUUACAUGGAAGUUUGAGGCAAUAACAGGUCAGUGAUGCCCUCAUAUGUCCUGGGCUGCACGCUGUGCUACACUGAUGCAUACAACGAGUGCCUAACCAGACAUGGUAUGGCAAUCUCGAAUAUGCAUCGUGAUGGGGAUAGAUCUUUGCAAUUAUAGAUCUUGAACGAGGAAUUCCUAGUAAGUGCAAGUCAUCAUCUUGCAUUGAUUAUGUCCCUGCCCUUUGUACACACCGCCCGUCGCUCCUACCGAUACCGGGUGAUCCGGUGAACCUUUUGGACCUGUAUGGGGAAGAUAAGUAAACCAUAUCACCUAGAGGAAGGAGAAGUCGUAACAAGGUUUCCGUAGGUGAACCUGCRGAAGGAUCA